rnacentral:rRNA from 1 species
UACGUAGGGGGCUAGCGUUGUCCGGAAUCAUUGGGCGUAAAGAGCGUGUAGGCGGCCCGGUAAGUCCGCUGUAAAAGUCAAAGGCUCAACCUUUGAAUGUCAGUGGAUACUGCCGGGCUAGAGUCCGGAAGAGGCGAGUGGAACUCCUGGUGUAGCGGUGGAAUGCGCAGAUAUCAGGAAGAACGCCAACGGCGAAGGCAGCUCGCUGGGACGGUACUGACGCUGAGGCGCGAAAGCGUGGGGAGCAAACAGG